rnacentral:rRNA from 1 species
GGUUAAGCGACUAAGCGUACACGGUGGAUGCCCUGGCAGUCAGAGGCGAUGAAGGACGUGCUAAUCUGCGAAAAGCGUCGGUAAGGUGAUAUGAACCGUUAUAGCCGGCGAUGUCCGAAUGGGGAAACCCAGUGCAAUUCGUUGCACUAUCGUUAACUGAAUACAUAGGUUAACGAGGCGAACCGGGGGAACUGAAACAUCUAAGUACCCCGAGGAAAAGAAAUCAACCGAGAUUCCCCCAGUAGCGGCGAGCGAACGGGGAGCAGCCCAGAGUCUGAAUCAGCUUGUGUGUUAGUGGAACGGUCUGGAAAGUCCGACGGUACAGGGUGAUAGUCCCGUACACCAAAAUGCACAGGUUGUGAACUCGAAGAGUAGGGCGGGACACGUGGUAUCCUGUCUGAAUAUGGGGGGACCAUCCUCCAAGGCUAAAUACUCCUGACUGACCGAUAGUGAACCAGUACCGUGAGGGAAAGGCGAAAAGAACCCCGGCGAGGGGAGUGAAAAAGAACCUGAAACCGUGUACGUACAAGCAGUGGGAGCACCUUCGGGUGUGACUGCGUACCUUUUGUAUAAUGGGUCAGCGACUUAUAUUCUGUAGCAAGGUUAACCGUAUAGGGGAGCCGCAGGGAAACCGAGUCUUAACUGGGCGUUAAGUUGCAGGGUAUAGACCCGAAACCCGGUGAUCUAGCCAUGGGCAGGUUGAAGGUUGGGUAACACUAACUGGAGGACCGAACCGACUAAUGUUGAAAAAUUAGCGGAUGACUUGUGGCUGGGGGUGAAAGGCCAAUCAAACCGGGAGAUAGCUGGUUCUCCCCGAAAGCUAUUUAGGUAGCGCCUCGUGAACUCAUCUUCGGGGGUAGAGCACUGUUUCGGCUAGGGGGUCAUCCCGACUUACCAACCCGAUGCAAACUACGAAUACCGAAGAAUGUUAUCACGGGAGACACACGGCGGGUGCUAACGUCCGUCGUGAAGAGGGAAACAACCCAGACCGCCAGCUAAGGUCCCAAAGUCAUGGUUAAGUGGGAAACGAUGUGGGAAGGCACAGACAGCCAGGAUGUUGGCUUAGAAGCAGCCAUCAUUUAAAGAAAGCGUAAUAGCUCACUGGUCGAGUCGGCCUGCGCGGAAGAUGUAACGGGGCUAAACCAUGCACCGAAGCUGCGGCAGCGACACUAUGUGUUGUUGGGUAGGGGAGCGUUCUGUAAGCCUGCGAAGGUGACCUGUGAGGGUUGCUGGAGGUAUCAGAAGUGCGAAUGCUGACAUAAGUAACGAUAAAGCGGGUGAAAAGCCCGCUCGCCGGAAGACCAAGGGUUCCUGUCCAACGUUAAUCGGGGCAGGGUGAGUCGACCCCUAAGGCGAGGCCGAAAGGCGUAGUCGAUGGGAAACAGGUUAAUAUUCCUGUACUUGGUGUUACUGCGAAGGGGGACGGAGAAGGCUAUGUUAGCCGGGCGACGGUUGUCCCGGUUUAAGCAUGUAGGCUGGUUGUCCAGGCAAAUCCGGAUAAUCAAGGCUGAGGUGUGAUGACGAGGUACUACGGUGCUGAAGUAACAAAUGCCCUGCUUCCAGGAAAAGCCUCUAAGCAUCAGGUAACAUCAAAUCGUACCCCAAACCGACACAGGUGGUCAGGUAGAGAAUACCAAGGCGCUUGAGAGAACUCGGGUGAAGGAACUAGGCAAAAUGGUGCCGUAACUUCGGGAGAAGGCACGCUGGUGUGUAGGUGAAGUCCCUGCGGAUGGAGCUGAGACCAGUCGAAGAUACCAGCUGGCUGCAACUGUUUAUUAAAAACACAGCACUGUGCAAACACGAAAGUGGACGUAUACGGUGUGACGCCUGCCCGGUGCCGGAAGGUUAAUUGAUGGGGUUAUCCGUAAGGAGAAGCUCUUGAUCGAAGCCCCGGUAAACGGCGGCCGUAACUAUAACGGUCCUAAGGUAGCGAAAUUCCUUGUCGGGUAAGUUCCGACCUGCACGAAUGGCGUAAUGAUGGCCAGGCUGUCUCCACCCGAGACUCAGUGAAAUUGAACUCGCUGUGAAGAUGCAGUGUACCCGCGGCAAGACGGAAAGACCCCGUGAACCUUUACUAUAGCUUGACACUGAACAUUGAGCCUUGAUGUGUAGGAUAGGUGGGAGGCUUUGAAGCGUGGACGCCAGUCUGCGUGGAGCCAACCUUGAAAUACCACCCUUUAAUGUUUGAUGUUCUAACGUUGGCCCCUGACCGGGGUUGCGGACAGUGUCUGGUGGGUAGUUUGACUGGGGCGGUCUCCUCCCAAAGCGUAACGGAGGAGCACGAAGGUUAGCUAAUCCUGGUCGGACAUCAGGAGGUUAGUGCAAUGGCAUAAGCUAGCUUGACUGCGAGCGUGACGGCGCGAGCAGGUGCGAAAGCAGGUCAUAGUGAUCCGGUGGUUCUGAAUGGAAGGGCCAUCGCUCAACGGAUAAAAGGUACUCCGGGGAUAACAGGCUGAUACCGCCCAAGAGUUCAUAUCGACGGCGGUGUUUGGCACCUCGAUGUCGGCUCAUCACAUCCUGGGGCUGAAGUAGGUCCCAAGGGUAUGGCUGUUCGCCAUUUAAAGUGGUACGCGAGCUGGGUUUAGAACGUCGUGAGACAGUUCGGUCCCUAUCUGCCGUGGGCGCUGGAGAAUUGAGGGGGGCUGCUCCUAGUACGAGAGGACCGGAGUGGACGCAUCACUGGUGUUCGGGUUGUCAUGCCAAUGGCACUGCCCGGUAGCUAAAUGCGGAAGAGAUAAGUGCUGAAAGCAUCUAAGCACGAAACUUGCCCCGAGAUGAGUUCUCCCUGAGACUUUAAGUCUCCUGAAGGAACGUUGAAGACGACGACGUUGAUAGGCCGGGUGUGUAAGCGCAGCGAUGCGUUGAGCUAACCGGUACUAAUGAACCGUGAGGCUUAACCUU